rnacentral:rRNA from 1 species
GGAUUCCUACGGGGGGCAGCAGUGAGGAAUAUUGGUCAAUGGUCGGGAGACUGAACCAGCCAAGCCGCGUGAGGGAUGAAGGUACAGAGUAUUGUAACCCUCUUUUGUCAGGGAACAAAGGCGGGGACGCGUCCCCGGAUGAGUGUAUCUGAAGAAAAAGCAUCGGCUAACUCCGUGCCAGCAGCCGCGGUAAUACGGAGGAUGCGAGCGUUAUCCGGAUUUAUUGGGUUUAAAGGGUGCGCAGGCGGUCUGUUAAGUCAGCGGUCAAAGUCCGGGGCUCAACCCCGGCCCGCCGUUGAAACUGG